CAUUUUGGAAAAAACCUGUCUUCCUCAUGGAAUCCCAAAAAGUGACACAAUUGGAGACGCUGGCUGUUUUACCAUUGCUUUGGCUGGAAUGACAUGUUUUCAGACUGUUUUGAGGAACUGAAGUUGAUCUAAUAGAGCCAGUCAAAACUCUUUGGAAAAACUGGCCUCAUACUUUAUCCUUUACAGGGUUUCUAAACUGUGGUAGAUAAAGAACGUCACUCUUUUUUUUUUUAACCUUUUAUUUUGAAAUAAUUUUAGCCACACAAAAAAGUUGAAAAAUAGUACAAAAAUCCUGUAUGUAUCCAGAUUCCCCAAAUGUUAACUCUUUUUUUUUUUUUUUUUUGAGACGGAGUCUCGCUCUGCUGCCCAGGCUGGAGUGCAGUGGCGUGAUCUUGGCUCACUGCAAGCUCUGCCUCCUGGGUUCACACCAUUCUCCUGCCUCAGCCUCCCAAGAAGUUGGGACUACAGGUGCCCCGCCACCACACCUGGCUAUUUUUAGUAGAGAUGGGGUUUCACUGUGUUAGCCAGGAUGGUCUUUAUCUCCUGACCUCGUGAUCCGCCCACCUCGGCCUCCCAAAGUGCUGGGAUUACAGGCAUGAGCCACCACCGCGCCCGGCCAAAUGUUAACUUCUUAUAUAACCAUAUUACAAUUUUUGAAACAAGGAAAUUACCAUUAAUACAGCACUAUCUAACCUACAAACUUUAUUCAAAUUUUUACCAAUUGUUCUUUUUGUCAUCUAGAAUCUAAGUUUAGGACGUUCUUAUGUACUUUUUGUCAUCUAGAAUCCAAAUUUAGGAUCACACAUUGAAUUUAGUUGUCAUGUCUCCUCAAUCUCCUUUAAUCUGGAACAAUUCCUUCGCCUUUCAUGACCAUGAAAGAAUGUUGCUUUCUGACAGGCCUAGGAACCCCAAGUUAUUUUGGGAUCUC
rnacentral:lncRNA from 10 species